UCACCAACAAGUACUACAACUUGGUCUUUCACCUUUUGUGGAUCUAAUGUUCACUUUUUGUUUUAACAAAAGAUGAAAAGGGUGAAGAACAACAAGAAAACAAUAACAACACCAAGAACAACAAUAAUAUUCUCCAAGAACAACAACAAAUUCCAACGCCCAACUCCACAACAACAAGGCCUUCAACACGGUCAAGGCUUAGAAUGACAA
rnacentral:lncRNA from 1 species